rnacentral:lncRNA from 1 species
AUACGGGAUGAUAAAGGAACCUUUUCUAAAAGGCAUUGCGGGGUCUAGAUUGAGAGGACUUCCAGUUACAGAAGCCUUGCUCUGCGCUCAACACUGGGGAUGCUCAUUUUUCUUGUUUUGUGAAUUCUCCCAUCUUGCUGUGAGCUCAUUUCACGGCUGUGGGAGGUUGGAGAGAGCAGGUUUAUGAUUCUGAAGAUCAGAGGACACCGGACUUUAAGGGGGGAUUGAAUUGGAAUUUGGGGACUACGGAAAAGCAACCUUCAGGUGCCAGUUCUGUCCUAAAACCGUCUUGGACAACAGGACUAGAUCCUAAAGCUCCUUCAGGGAGCUCUGCCCUGGAACGGAACAGUUGAUGUAAUAACCACGUUGUAUAGAGACUAACUCCAGGGGGUUGUUUGGGUUUGGUUUGGUUUUAAGGCAGUUUGUGUGAGAGUUUCAACUGCAUCCACCUUGGGAACAGAUAUACCCCUUUCUUUAGCACUGCUGUUCUUUUUUGUCUUCACAAACAGGGUGUUCAGUGAGCCACAGGCAAGAAGAGCCAUUUUAGUCUUCACAGCUGGGGGCCCGGAGACAUCGUGAGUUGAUGAUCUAUUUUAACCUCAAACGUAAAAAUGUAUACUUUCUCACAACAGGGACGUCGAACAGUAAAAUGAGUAACAGCAAAGUCUUUAUUGACUGCCUUCUGCCUUUUUGUGGUAAUGUGCUAACAUGACAAGGUGUGUUCAUAUUUUACUCAGCCAGAGUCUAGUUCAUCUGCUAAGCAUUGGGAGUAUUAUGUAGGUUGAUCUUAAACAUAAAUCGGUCUCUGAGGGUGCCCUCUAUUUGGAUUGUGACUUGUAGACUCAAGCUGACUUCACUGCCUCUUUUUCACACUUGUUGAAAAGUCUAUGAAGGGCAUAGCAAGGAUCUCCACCUUUGGAAAAGGCACAUGAUGUGAAACUGGGGUGCUGUGUUAAAAAUAAAUGUAUAACUUAAAAGAAUAGGCAGUAAGUAAAAUAAUAUUGGAAGUGAUGUGGUAACAUGAGGAGAAAGGGUGGCUGGCAGAUUCAAGCCAAUAGGCAGCCUCCUGCCCUAGUCAGGCCUUGGGAGAUGCUAACAGUUUUUCAUUCUCCAAUUCUCAUUUUUUGUUUCUCUUCUCACUGAGUGAAAUCAUCUCUCAGUACAUUACCUUAGUUUAACUUGCUGAUGCUUCUCAGAGUCUAAUUUAUCUUGCUAUUUUAUGCCAAUAUUGAUCUCUGCUCUUCGAUUUUUCAUUUUAUUAUUUAACCGUAUGGAAUUUUAUAAAUUUCAAAAGUGGAAUAUACUUGUUGUACCAAGGAAAACAGUACGGAACUCCGAUUCAACCCCUAGCCUGGGAACCUCCAUAUGCCGCGGGUGUGGCCCUCAAAAGACAAAAAAAAAAAAAAAAAAAAAAAAAAAUCCAACUGCAGCAGCUGGGGUUGCUGCAGAGGCGAAAGUUCAAUCCCCAGCCUGGCUCAGUGGGUUAAGGAUCCAGUGUUGCCGCAGCUGUGGUGUAGGUCGCAGACUCGGCUUGGAUCUGGCGUUGCUGUGGCUGUGGUGUAGACCAGCAGCUGUAGCUCCAUUUGGACCCCUAGCCUGGGAACCUCCAUAUGCUGCGGGUGUGGUCC